GCACCGGUUGUGCAUGGUGCACGCUGCCAUUAAAUGGGGUCAGAGAAAGGGUUCAGGAAACUGGGGUUCGAUUCCCUACUGGUGCA